CAGCCGCCGCGGGAAUACGAGGGGGGCAAGCGUUGUUCGGAUUUAUUGGGCGUAAAGGGUGCGUAGGCGGUUUGGCAAGUCUUGUGUGAAAUCUUCGGGCUCAACCCGAAGCCUGCACGAGAAACUACCGGGCUUGAGUAUUGGAGAGGUGAGUGGAAUUCCCGGUGUAGCGGUGAAAUGCGUAGAUAUCGGAAGGAACACCUGUGGCGAAAGCGGCUCACUGGACAAUAACUGACGCUGAUGCACGAAAGCUAGGGGAGCAAACAGGAUUAGAUACCCGCGUAGUCCCUGUCUCUUAUAA
rnacentral:rRNA from 1 species